GAUGAACGCUGGCGGCGUGCCUAAUACAUGCAAGUAGAACGCUGAAGGAGGAGCUUGCUCUUCUGGAUGAGUUGCGAACGGGUGGGUAACGCGUAGGUAACCUGCCUGGUAGCGGGGGAUAACUAUUGGAAACGAUAGCUAAUACCGCAUGACAACAGUUAUUGCAUGAUAACUGUUUAAAAGGGGCAACUGCUCCACUACCAGAUGGACCUGCGUUGUAUUAGCUAGUUGGUGAGGUAACGGCUCACCAAGGCGACGAUACAUAGCCGACCUGAGAGGGUGAUCGGCCACACUGGGACUGAGACACGGCCCAGACUCCUACGGGAGGCAGCAGUAGGGAAUCUUCGGCAAUGGACGGAAGUCUGACCGAGCAACGCCGCGUGAGUGAAGAAGGUUUUCGGAUCGUAAAGCUCUGUUGUAAGAGAAGAACGAGUGUGAGAGUGGAAAGUUCACACUGUGACGGUAGCUUACCAGAAAGGGACGGCUAACUACGUG
rnacentral:rRNA from 1 species